UACGGAGGGUGCAAGCGUUGUUCGGAAUCAUUGGGCGUAAAGCGCGUGUAGGCGGCUUUUUAAGUUUGGUGUGAAAGCCCGGGGCUUAACCCCGGAAGUGCACUGAAUACUGAUUAGCUAGAGGGUGAGAGAGGAUAGUGGAAUUCCUGGUGUAGGGGUGAAAUCCGUAGAUAUCAGGAGGAACAUCUGUGGCGAAGGCGGCUAUCUGGCUCACUUCUGACGCUGAGACGCGAAAGCGUGGGGAGCAAACAGG
rnacentral:rRNA from 1 species